UUUAAUUAAUUUUAAAAAGGUGUGUUAUUAUUAAUAUUAAUAUUUUAACUGUGAAGGGGAUAUAUCAGUUAAUUUUUGAAAUAGAAAAAUAAUAAUUUGUACCUUUUGUAUCAGGGUUUAUUUAACUUUUUUUUGUAUAAAAGUUUCUCGAAAAGAAAAGAUUUAAAUUAAUUUUUAGCUAAUUGUUGUAUAAUUUAUUAAUAAAUUUCUUUAGAUUUGAUAUGUAUGUCGAUUUUUUAUAUCUAGUUAUUUAUUUUUUUAAUUUAAUUAAUUAAAUUUUAGAUUUUUUAAAAUUGUGUAAGUGUAUGGGGAUAAGCUUAUAUGAAUUUUUAAAGUAUUAAAAUAUUAAUUUAAAAAUGUAAUUUUAAAAUUGGUUUUCACGAUAGUUUUUAAAAAAAAAUUAAAUUAAUUUAUAUUUUAUUAUUGCUUUUUUUAUUUAAAAUAAAUUAUAGAUUAAAAUUUUUAGAAUUUAAAAAAAAUGAUAAAAUAAGUAAAUUAUAAAAAUAAUUAUUAAGAAUUCUGCAAUAAUAGUUUUUGCCUGUUUAUCAAAAACAUGUCUAAAAGUUACAUAUUUUUAGUCUAACCUGCUCUAUGCAAUAUAGUCAAUAGCUGCAGUAUUUUGACUGUACAAAGGUAGCAUAAUCAUUAGUUUUUUAAUUAAAAGCUUGAAUGAAUGGUUGAACAUAAAACUAACUUUUUUAUUUUUAUGAAAUUUAAUUUAAUUUUUAUGUAAAAAAGCGUAAAUAAAUUAAAGGGACGAGAAGACCCUAUAGAAUUUAAAACAAAUAAAUUGAUACAGUGUUUUUUAUUGGGGUGAUAGGAAAUAAACUUUUCUUUUUUGUUCAUAGAUGUAUGAUUAAUAGAUCCUGAUAUUUAGAUUUUAAGAUAAAAUUACCUUAGGGAUAACAGCAUAAUUUUUUUUGAAAGAUCAUAUUAAUAAAAAAGAUUAUGACCUCGAUGUUGAAUUAAGAAAUAAAAAGGUGUAGGCGUUUUUUUAUUUAGUCUGUUCGACUUAUUCAAUUUUACAUGAUUUGAGUUCAAACCGGCGUGAGCCAGGUUGGUUUCUAUCUUUUAUUUUUUUUUAUUUUAGUACGAAAGGAUUUGAUAAAAUCAUUAUUUAUGAUAAUAUUAGAACAUUAGUU
rnacentral:rRNA from 1 species